GAUGAACGCUGGCGGCGUGCCUAACACAUGCAAGUCGAACGGUUGAGUACUUGACUUUUAGUUACUGAUUGUAAGAGAUGAGUGAUUAAAAGUUAAGUACUCGAUAGUGGCGGACGGGUGAGUAACGCGUAAGUAAUCAACCUGUGACACACGGAUAACUGAUAGAAAUGUCAGCUAAUACGAGAUGAACUGUUUAAAUUGGGAGAUAGAAACAGCAAAGCGAAAGCGGUCACAGACGAGCUUGCGUCUGAUUAGCUAGUUGGUGAAGGUAACGGCCCACCAAGGCAACGAUGGGUAGCCGGCCUGAGAGGGUGAACGGCCACAUUGGAACUGAGAAACGGUCCAAACUCCUACGGGAGGCAGCAGUGGGGAAUAUUGCACAAUGGGGGAAACCCUGAUGCAGCGACGCCGCGUGAGCGAAGAAGGCCUUCGGGUCGUAAAGCUCUUUUAUAUGGGAAGAUAAUGACGGUACCAUAAGAAAAAGCCCCGGCUAACUACGUGCCAGCAGCCGCGGUAAUACGUAGGGGGCUAGCGUUGUCCGGAAUCACUGGGCGUAAAGGGUUCGCAGGCGGCAAUGCAAGUCAGAUGUAAAAGGCAAAGGCUCAACCUUUGUAAGCAUCUGAAACUGUAUAGCUUGAGAAGUGUAGAGGCAAGUGGAAUUUUUAGUGUAGCGGUGAAAUGCGUAGAUAUUAAAAAGAAUACCGGUGGCGAAGGCGACUUGCUGGGCACAAUCUGACGCUGAGGAACGAAAGCGUGGGGAGCAAACAGG
rnacentral:rRNA from 1 species